AGUGAACGCUGGCGGUAGGCCUAACACAUGCAAGUCGAACGGCAGCACAGUAAGAGCUUGCUCUUACGGGUGGCGAGUGGCGGACGGGUGAGGAAUACAUCGGAAUCUACUUUUUCGUGGGGGAUAACGUAGGGAAACUUACGCUAAUACCGCAUACGACCUACGGGUGAAAGCAGGGGAUCUUCGGACCUUGCGCGAUUGAAUGAGCCGAUGUCGGAUUAGCUAGUUGGCGGGGUAAAGGCCCACCAAGGCGGGGAUCCGUAGCUGGUCUGAGAGGAUGAUAAGCCACAUUGGAAGUGAGACACGGUCCAGACUCCUACGGGAGGCAGCAGUGGGGAAUAUUGGACAGUGGGGGCAAGCCUGAUCCAGCCAUACCGCGUGGGUGAAGAAGGCCUUCGGGUUGUAAAGCCCUUUUGUUGGGAAAGAAAAGCAGCAGGUUAAUACCCAGCUGUUCUGACGGUACCCAAAGAAUAAGCACCGGCUAACUUCGUG
rnacentral:rRNA from 1 species